rnacentral:rRNA from 1 species
CCUACGGGUGGCAGCAGUGGGGAAUAUUGGACAAUGGGCGAAAGCCUGAUCCAGCCAUGCCGCGUGUGUGAAGAAGGCCUUCGGGUUGUAAAGCACUUUCAGUGGGGAAGAAAGCCUUGGGGCUAAUACCCUCGAGGAAGGACAUCACCCACAGAAGAAGCACCGGCUAACUCCGUGCCAGCAGCCGCGGUAAUACGGAGGGUGCGAGCGUUAAUCGGAAUUACUGGGCGUAAAGCGCGCGUAGGCGGUCUGGUAAGCCGGUUGUGAAAGCCCCGGGCUCAACCUGGGAACGGCAUCCGGAACUGUCAGGCUAGAGUGCAGGAGAGGAAGGUAGAAUUCCCGGUGUAGCGGUGAAAUGCGUAGAGAUCGGGAGGAAUACCAGUGGCGAAGGCGGCCUUCUGGACUGACACUGACGCUGAGGUGCGAAAGCGUGGGUAGCAAACAGGAUUAGAUACCCUAGUAGUC